CCUUCGAUAGCUCAGUUGGUAGAGCGGUGGACUGUAGAAUUUAAAAAACAUCAAGUAUAGAUAUCCAUAGGUCGCUGGUUCAAAUCCGGCUCGAAGGA
rnacentral:ncRNA from 12 species